GACAGUCUCUCCCUCCCCGCCCCCGCCCCCGCCCCCGUGUGUGACUGGAGGAUGUUGGGGAAAUUGGGUGAAAGAUAUUGGGUGACGGGGAGAGAGAAGAAGAAGUUGCUACAGAUUAAUAUCAAAUAUCAGUUGUUCAGGUUGUCAACACAUUUCCCUGGAAUGAGAGGAACACUUCAGAAACUGAAAAGGUCUCCUAGUAGAACGAAGCAAGCCCAGCAAGCAGAACCACACGGCAAGACGCUGAGGAGGAGGACAUGAGCGCUGGCUGGUGGCUCUAGGAGCUGACGCCCUGGACAGCUGAUUUCCUAUUUUAAAAGAGUGCCAUCUUGCCUGUCUCCACGCCACCCUCCCAUCCCGUGACCAGUACCUCCUAGCCCCACCGUGCGCGCGCGUGUCCAGCCAGGCCAGCUGGUUGGCUCACGCGGGAGCUUUGUUGAAGCGAACGUUGUGCCUGCAGCACCUUCUGUGUGUGGAAAGAUUGAGUUCCCCCACACCUCCAGCUCAUCCCCUCCCUCCACAUGAAGCCUCCCAAGGACAAGGCUGGUCAUCCUGGACUGAAGAGACCCCUCAUGGCCCAGCCCUGGCUCCCAAGCCUGCCUCACCCGACACUUUCGGGUGGGAAAUGGAGAAUAUAUAUCUCCCCUUCUCCUCUCUCUUCUCUAUGUGGAUAGCCAAUGUCAACCAUCCCCUGAGGUUUCUCUAAGGUCUUUGGAAGACAACGGUUUGCCCUACCAUGGACAGGCUUGGUGCCUUCAGAUGACCAAGAGCAGCAUUUAUAUCACCAGGAUCAGUGGAGUGAGAGCAGAACUUCCCCCACCAGGGCAAAAGUGUAUAUGUUGUUUUAUUGAUUGUUUUAUUCAUUGGCAUACUCACCAAUUUAUCAUUUAUUUAUUUAUUUAUUUAUUUAUUUAUUUAUUUAUUUAUUUAUGGAAUCUGUAUUUAUUAUACAUCAGAAAAUCUACUUCCAUCUUUCAAACGUUAGCCCCAAAUUUAUCUUCUUGGCCCCCACAGAGCACAGUAAAUGAUUCCUCUUUGAAGCCACAAAAAAAAAGAGGGAAAUUCUUCUCCCUAGUCCCAAAUACUUCCACCCCAGCCAGAUUUUCAACCAGAAAUGGGAUCAGAAACUACCAGCCACACAAAUCAGCACAGGCCCAGUAUCCAGGCAGAAACCUGGAGUCUUCCAACCCCUGAUUUUGCACUAUUUUCUCUUCCACACCUUCACAAACUCAUGCAAGACCGACCAGCUGACUCCAGCCCGACUGUUAAGAGUGGACUUCUCAUUCUGCUCUGGGGCAGAAUGCUUGGCACCAGAUGCACAUUAGAAUCAAUGUCAGGAGCUUGAAACCACAUGCCUGGUUUCCAUCUCAGUGUAUCCAUAGCAGAGUCUCCAAAGGGCUGGCAGCAGAGGUCUUUUUAGUAACCCAGAUGAUUCUAACUUGUAAAUGCAGUUGAUAAAAAAGAAAAAAAACCCUUCUACAUCCCCAUCGACCUCCAAGAUCCCUUCCUCCUUUGGUUCACAAGCUUCUUCUGGAGUCCCCAUUCCUCCAAUUCCUUUUCCUCACUAAACCUUCCUCCAUCGGCACCUUCAACCUGAGCAGACCCAAAGAGGUGAUUGGUCCUAAGAGUGACUCCUGAAGCUGAUGCCUGCCCUUGCCUAGCUCUAGAAGCAAAAGCUUUCCCCUUGCCUACGUUCACCUUCCAUCUGCACUCCCCCCCUCCACAUGCCUCCCUCCAAGAGUCUGAAGGUUACAUGGCCAUUCCCAUCUCAGCAUCCUAAUUUUAAGGCAAAGCUCAUUUCAGUCUUUAUAACCCAGGGGUUGGCUGUUUCUGCAGUGCAACAUGAAUUACCUGAGGGCCCACUGGUAACAGGAAAGGGCCAUCCAUAACAGAAAAGGACUAUCCCCCCAACAGUCCUUUACCCAGUGACCUAACAGCAGCCCCCACUCUGGCAUCCAGAUCACAGAUGACUAGAGGAGACUUCUCACCCCUCAUGUUGACAAACAAGUUCUCAAACAAUGAAUAUAAGUGAAGGGGUGUGUGUGUGUGUGUGUGUGUGUGUGUGUGUGUGUGUGUGUACUGCCUUCAUCUAAACAGGCAUCUAUGGAGAUGCUGAACUUCAACUUUACAGUAUGGACCUUUACCUGAAAACGAUCAAGAACUUGUGCUGUCCUGCACUCAGUGGAUUCACUGUGCUCCUUUCCUCAAGGGCCCAAGUGAACUCCAGAGUUGCGGUCCCUGCAGAACAAUGUAAUGUCUAGGAACUGUUGGGUGUGUUAGAGAGAGUGUGUAUGUUGUAUGCACAAUACAGUGCCCCAGCAUAGUAAGAGUUCAUUUUCCUACCCACCCCCCUCCGGCAUCUAAGCAGGUUCCCAGAGCAAGUAGACUUCUCCUGCAUUCAUAGCACCAUGCCUUCUUGCCCCAUUUAAUCAGACUGUCCUGCACCAAGUCCCAUCUCUCAGGGUCCUGCUCUCUGAUAGGCAACAGUUCAGUCAGUGGGUGCUAAAGAGUUGAGUGUUACACUUCUUAGGUGACAUUUACCUUUUAAUUGGGGCUAUAGACAAUGCCUUAAUCUGAAGGAAUAGCUUGAAUGCUGGGAAUUUCAGGUGCAGAAGUGGGCCAGUAAGAGAGAUUAUUUUUUUCUCAGGAGGGCAUUUUAGAGCCUCCCCUCCCCCAUACGUAUCUCUAAAGUCAGCUCAUAAGUACAUGAGCUUGAGCAAGCACACUUACCUACAUCCACAUCCCAUAAUUUUGAAAUACCUCCCUUGCAUUGGCCCCAUCUUUAAAAAUAAAAAAAAAAAUUAAAAAG